rnacentral:sRNA from 1 species
UGUACCCCAGAUACUCGGGAGGCUGAGGUUGGGAAGAUUGCUUGAGCCCAGUGGGUGGAGGCUGCAGUGAGCCAAGAUCCUGCCACUACCCUCCAGCUGGGUAACAGAGUGAGCCCCUGUGUCAAAAGAAAAAAGAAAAUGCAGAGAGAUCAGAGAAAAAAAAUGGGUUUGUGAUCCUAUUAUUCAGACAGAAUCACCCUCUUCCCUCCCCACUCCCCAUAAACACAACCACAGUCUCACGUACAUUGGGGUUUAGGAGGCGGGCAGACGGCACCAGUCCGCUUCCAUGGUGGGAGAACAUCUUGCUUAGGUUGAUUCAGGUGUCGUCAGCCUGGCUGGCAGAGACAGGAACAGGCCCGGCAGGGCAGGCGGCGCUCCCUGUUUGAGAGUGGAACCUACAUUUGUUUGGGGUUAGCUGGCAGAGAGGCCGAUGACAUCGUGAACUGGCUGAAGAAGCGCACGGGCCCGGCUGCCACCACCCUGCCUGACGGCGCAGCUGCAGAGUCCUUGGUGGAGUCCAGCGAGGUGGCUGUCGUCGGCUUCUUCAAGGACGUGGAGUCAGACUCUGCCAAGCAGUUUUUGCAGGCAGCAGAGGCCAUCGAUGACAUACCAUUUGGGAUCACUUCCAACAGUGACGUGUUCUCCAAAUACCAGCUCGACAAAGAUGGGGUUGUCCUCUUUAAGAAGUUUGAUGAAGGCCGGAACAACUUUGAAGGGGAGGUCACCAAGGAGAACCUGCUGGACUUUAUCAAACACAACCAGCUGCCCCUUGUCAUCGAGUUCACCGAGCAGACAGCCCCGAAGAUUUUUGGAGGUGAAAUCAAGACUCACAUCCUGCUGUUCUUGCCCAAGAGUGUGUCUGACUAUGAUGGCAAACUGAGCAACUUCAAAACAGCAGCCGAGAGCUUCAAGGGCAAGAUCUUGUUCAUCUUCAUCGACAGCGACCACACCGACAACCAGCGCAUCCUCGAGUUCUUUGGCCUAAAGAAGGAAGAGUGCCCGGCUGUGCGCCUCAUCACCCUGGAGGAGGAGAUGACCAAGUACAAGCCCGAAUCGGAGGAGCUGACGGCAGAGAGGAUCACAGAGUUCUGCCACCGCUUC